UUUAGCGCGGUGGUCCCACCUGACCCCAUGCCGAACUCAGAAGUGAAACGCCGUAGCGCCGAUGGUAGUGUGGGGUCUCCCCAUGCGAGAGUAGGGAACUGCCAGGC
rnacentral:rRNA from 2 species